AACAUGAAUUUUUUAAGCCCUGUAAAUUAAAUAUUUUAGCCAAAUUAUAUUUAAAUACUUAAUUGAUCACAUACAUGGAUCAUUAACCUAAGUUAUAAAAGUUACUUAACAUUGCCAUAAAUAACUGCUCAUUUAUUAAAUGCUAAUUUUGAGGAAAGAAAGUUGUCACUAGACACAGAAGCUCAGAACCCACGACUGUAUUCUCUCCCUUGGACACCUCUAGUUGUGGAAGAAAUUUCUAAGCAGUAAAGUGUUCAAGAUGUACACUGGCUACUUCUCAUAGCCUAAUUUCAGAUUCAGUAGCAAAGGAAUAACUCGAAGUUGGAACUUAUAUUUAAAAGCGAAGCAGAGCCAAAAUGUUUGCAAAAAAAGUAGCUUGGCCAUGUGGCACAGAAAGAAAGAGUUUUUUGAGAAGGAAUUCAAGCAGGCUACUGAGCAACCACUUGCUAGAGAAAUUUGUGUAACUAAAAAGAAGGCAAGUGCUGAUCGCCAAGACAAUGAGAAAAAGUCCUGGAAGCCAUCUAAAAGAUCUAAGAGGCAGCCCUUCCCACCAUAAACCCUGAGGCCUAGGAGAACAGAAUGGUUUCCUGGGCCAGGUUUUGAGCCCUGCUGCCUUGCCUAGACUCGGGACAGUGCUUUUGCCUCCUGGCUGCUGAAGCUUCAACCCUGGCUCAAAGGGACCUAGGUACAGCUUGGGAUGCUGCUUCAGCGGGUGUAAGCCAUAAGCAUUGGCAGCUUCCAUGUGGUUUUAAGCCUGCAGGUACACAAAGUGCCAAAGUUGAGGCUUGGGAACCAUGGCCUAGAUUUCAGUGGAUAUAUGAAAAAACUUGGGUGUCCAAGCAAGAGCCUGAUGCAGGGGUGGAACCAUCAUGGAGAACCUCUACUAGGGCAGUGGGGAGCCAUCAUGGAGAACCACUACUAGGGCAGUGCAGAGUGUGAAGUUGGAGUUUCCACACAGAGUCCUCACUGGGGCACUGCCUCAUGACAUUGUGAGAAGAGGGCCACUGUCCUCAGAUCCCAAGAAAGAUAUAUCCACCAGCUUGCACUUUUUGCCUGGAAAAGUUGCUGGCACUCAAUGCCAACCCACUAGCCUGUUAGAGCAGCCAUAGGGAUUGAACCCUGCAAAGCCACAGGGGUGGAGCUAUCCAAGACUUUGGGAGCUCACUUUAUCAAACCAGUGUGUCUUAGAUGUGAGAUAUGGCAUCAAAGGAGGUUAUUCUGGAGCUUUAAGAUUUAAUGAUUGUUUUACUAGGUUUUGGACUUGCCUGGACUCUGUAGCCACUUUCUUUUAGUGGGUUUUUCCUUUUGGGAAUGGGAAUGUUUACUCAGUGCUUGUACCUCCAUUGUAUCUUGGAUGUAACUAACUUGUUUUUGAUUUUACAGGAUCAUAGGCGGAAAAGACUUGCUGUGUCUCAGAGAAACUUCAGACUUUGGGCUUUUGAGGUAACACUAAAAUGAGUUAAAAAUUUAGGGGAUUAUUGGGAAGGCAUGAUGGUAUUUUGAAGUGUGAGAAAGGUAUCAGAUUUUGGGGAGACCUAGGGCAGAAAAAUACAGUUUGGGAAUUUGUUCCUGCCCAAAUCUCAUGCUGAAAUGGAAUUCCCAGUGUUGUAGGUGGGGCUUGGUGGGGAGGUGAUUGGAUCAUGGGGGAAGAUUUCUCAUGAAUGGUUUAGUGCCAUUCUCUUGGUACUGUCGUCUUCAUAGUGAGUGAGUUCUUGCAGGAUCCGAUUGUUUAAAAGUGUGUGCCAUCUCCUCUUUCUUCCUCUUUUCUCCUGUUUUGGUCAUGUGAAGUACCUGUUCCCCCUUAGCAUCCUGCAACAACUGGAAGCUUCCUGAGGCCUCCCCAGAAGCAGAUGUCACUAGGCUUCCUGUAUAGCCGGCAGAACUGUGAGCCAAUUAAACAUCUUUUCUUUAUAAAUUACCCAGUCUCAGAUAUUUCUUUACAGCAAUGUGAGAAUGGCCUAAUGCAAUAAAUAUAAGGGAAAACAUAAGUUUGCUCAAUGUCACAACCUGGAUAAGUGUGUGAGGUGGCUGAGUGUCUUAAAACCUAAGCAGAUCCCAAUACCAUCUUGCCUCCCAAAUGUGGCAGUCUUCAACAAGCUCACACAAGAUUUCUUCUUCCUUUUACAGAACUGUCUUCAGGGUUUCUACUACACAUUUUAUCUUCUACAUAGUUGACAGAUUUAAUUUCUGAAAGGCAGAUCUAAAAAUAUGGAUUACCCUAUUCAAAGAAAAAUAGUUUAAACACCCUACCAAGGCAAUCAGACCCUCUCUCAUCAGUCCCAGCUAUACCAUUUUAGUCUCAGUUUGCUCCAUUUUGAAGUAUCAAACCAUGUACUUAAUUACACCAGCCCAAGAGGCUUGGCUUACUACUUUCCUGCCUCUUUUUUCUUGGAUAUCCUAAAUUUUCUUCCUGGGUUGCUCUUUUGACCUCAACCAGGCUAAUGUUCUAUACUACAUAUUUUUUAAGAUCCUUUCAAGUGCCAUCUUCAGCUGAACAAUUCUUUGACUCUCAUACUCAUACCUACGUUUCUUCUACAUAAAAUAAUUAUUUCCCCAGACUUCUCAGUAUAAUUUGUGUUAAACUUGUGUAUGCUAUUUAUUAUAUUGCAAUUUGUUUUAAAUGUGUUAUCUGUCUUUCCCAUUAAAUUCAUGCAUUUUAAGGUUAGCAAAUACAUUUCAUUAUAAGCUUCAUGUAAUCUAAACUAUUUGAAUAACAAAGCAGGCAUAGCUCUCUCAAAUGUGCAUGUCUCUCUUGAUAUAGUCACCACUUCACUGCUAGUUUCCAUAGACAGAUAUGUUAUUUAAGCUUUAUGUAUGUUUUUAAACAAGUGUUUCCAGUAUUAACUUUAUUCAUUCAAUCUUGAUUUAAUAGGAAAUAGGUUUCCUUUUAGUAAAUUAUUUUAGCCUCAGGCAUAUCUCCCAGUUAUAUUCUUCUUAUAAACUAUCUAGGACACACAUAAAUAUAACUUCUCCAGGAAAGCCUUCCUGUUCCAUAAAAAAAUGAAUAAGAGUCAGAGAUACCACACCAUGCCUAAGGAAAAAGAAAUCACACUCUCAGAUUUAUGUUAAUAUACUAGUCUUUCUGAAUUCAACUCCCAUAUGCUUUUGAUUAAUUCUUAUGUCAUGAAACAUCAUAAGAAAUAGGAAAAAGAAGACUGAAGGGGCAUGCGGAGGAGGAAAAGAGGGGCAGGAAUGUGAAGAAGAGGCAGAAGAGCAGAUGGAGGAAAAGAGAAGGAAAAAUGAAGAGAAAGACAAAAAAAAAAAAAAAAAAGAGAAGGCACUGUCAUUUGCAUGUACAUGAAAUUCUAACAACUGCCAUGUGGCCAUUCUAAGGCAGAUACUAUUCCCAUUUUACAGAUGAACAAACUAAGGCAUAAAUAUGCUAAGUAUCAUGUACAAGGUAAAGUAUUAAAAUGGAAAUGUCAAAAAUUAAGAAUUGUCAAACUUUCUAAGGUUACAAAGGUACAAUUGGUAUGCCCUCUUACUACCCUAUAAUUGUUUCCACUGUUUUCUGAGGAUAAUUGUUAUUUUUAUUAUUAGAAGCAUUAGAGAAUUAUUGAAUGCUUUAUUUUCUUCAUAAGAAAGAUUUAAAAAGCUUUUGAUAGUUUUGACCAAAACAAACUAGCAAACAAACAAACAAACAAUAGGAGAAAGAGAGCUCUUGAGGUCAGGUUACUUGGAGAAAAGAUUGAGGAAAUUAGAAUGAGAUGAUAUUGGAAACAUUUACCGUUUCUCAUCUCAGGCUCUUAGAGUUCUUGCAUGCUCUUGAAUCAGUCAUUGACUUAUCAGUAGAUAAGCUUGUGACAUUUUACAAGAAAGAAAUGAGACAACAGCAGGCAACAACUGGAAAUGAUUCACUGUUAUAUUUUUAAAAUUUAUUUUUCCUACAAUCUCAUAUUUUUAAUGUUCCAACAAAUACUUGAAAAAUGGUAUUUAACAAUUAUUUUAAAUCUGGUCUCCAUUUUGUUAUCCAUGAUUAGUUAUUUUAGUCAUUCAUGGAAACUAACUAAAUGAGCUAAAUAAAUAUUCCCAUCUGCUUUAUGAAAAUCACAUUAAAAUUGUUAUCAGAACAUGACUAUCUAUUAUUGAAUGAUGCACUAACACAAAGUUAAAUUACAUGUAUUUGUUUUCAGGAUAAGCUGGGGAGAAUUUGAGCAUUUAGUAAAAUGGUUUGAGAGAAUGUCUUUUUCUGUGAAUGUAUGAACAAAUAUUCUAAUAAUAAUUUGAUUUGAUGUAGAAAAUAAUAAAAUUUAUUUUCAAAUAUUAUACUCCUCCACCUCAAAACUACCACUACUGAACAUGAAUGCCAUGUGAAAUUCACAUACUUCUUGAACAGGCGUGCAUUUAUUCAACACAUAUUGGUUAAACACUUUCUUUGUGUUAAACAUUGCUGUUAACACUGAAGAUACAAGUGUGUAAAACAAACAAUCUGAUAUUUUUGUGCUUAUAUACUAAGAGUAGGCCAAAUAAUGAACUCAAUGAAGAAAGAAAAAUAAAUAGUAGUUUAGUUGGCAAUAAGUCUAGUUAAGAAAUAAAACAAGGAAACAUAAUAAAAAAAUGUUGGCUAGCUUUGCUCUCUUAGUAGUCAGGAAAAGCCUCCAGGAAAUGUUAACAGUUAAGACCUAAAGAAAAGAAUUGACUAGUUUUGAGGAGUGAAUGAUAUUAUCUGCCAGGAUUUAACAGACUAGUUCUUGUUAUUAUGUAGCAGAUAUAUUGAAAGUGAUAAAGACACAAGUAGGGGGAAGAUUCAGAAGCGCUACAAGUAGAAGGGGUGAUAUAUUUUGAAGCUAUUGACAAGAAGAUGGAUUGUAUGUGGGGUAUGAGAUUAAAAGACAAGUCAUGGUUUCUCCAAGUGUUUGGCCUGAGCUAUUUGAAGGAUGUAGUCAUCACUUAUUGGCUUAAGUAGCUGUCUGGAAGAUGUUUGGGAGAAGACCAAAUGGUCAGUUUCAGAGAUAUUAAGUUUGAUAUGCCUGGUAAACAUCCAAAUAGUUCAAUAGAUUCAAUCGAUAUAUAGAUAUGUAGAUUUACAGUCAAAGCAAAAUAAUAGGUGACAAUAUAUAAGACCACUAGGAAGAUUUUUUUUAAUUAUGAAACUCAAUAAAGUAAAUUAUUGUAGAGGAGGAGAAGUUGUGAUGACUCAGUUAUUGAAAAUCCAUUCCUAAUAAGUCAGAUGAAGAAUCAGCAAUAAGGAAAGGGAAAAGUCAAUGAAGUUGGUUAAAAAACAUAUAUAUUCUCCUGGAACUCAAAUAACAAAUGCUAGUUAAGGAGGAAGUGAUUAACAGUGGAAAAUGUUGUUGAUAUACACAGUAAGAUAAGACGUGAGAAUAGACCUCCGCAUUUAGUAAAGUAUUUGCCAUGCUUCACUGGUGACCUCAGUAAGUUCAGAAUCUGGGAACUGAUAGAAGCGAGUGCCCAAAUAAAUUGGGACUAGGAUACAGUGAGAAAAGGCUAAUGAAAGCUGACAAUAUGAAUACCUGAGGAAAGUAAUGAGAGAAAUGGGCAAAAACUAGAGAAAACAGCAGAGCUUGUAACUGUUUCAAAAUAAGAGACAUUUAUGUUGACAAAUGAAGAGAACCUCAUAUACAACAUUCAAAAGGGAUGAAAGUAAAUACAGAAUAAAGGAUACGAAAUGAUGUCUGAUGGCAAAGCACCCAGUGACACUCUCUGCAUCACCCUGUGGCUGCCAGGAGUGAGGGAGGCAUGGCCUCGGCAAUUCUGGAUUGUUUUAUUUAUCUCUUCAGUGACUCUUUCAGUGAUAUGAAGAUAAAAUCAGUACUUCAUCUCUUCUCUGUCCACUGCUGUCCUGAGAUUUCCUGUCAACGCUGACCCUCAGUGUACUCCUCUGAGGUUCUAUUCAAGUAGUGAAAAAUUAUGGCACCAAUAUCUGUCAUUUAUCACUCCUGGAAGCAGUAAGAUGCAGCUUCAUUUGUUGAAAGUCGGGGAUAUACUGACUUGUUGCUAAAUAUUAGAGAAAUGCACUAUGACAAUAGCGUAUGAAAUAAUACAGAUAGUGUUUUUUCUGUG